rnacentral:rRNA from 1 species
GGGGAUAGCCUUGCGAAAGCAAGAUUAAUACCCGAUGUUCUCACUGUUCCGCAUGUUACGGUGAGCAAAGAAUUUCGGUAUGCGAUGGCGAUGCGUCCCAUUAGCUAGUUGGCGGGGUAACGGCCCACCAAGGCUCCGAUGGGUAGGGGUUCUGAGAGGAAGGUCCCCCACACUGGAACUGAGACACGGUCCAGACUCCUACGGGAGGCAGCAGUGAGGAAUAUUGGUCAAUGGACGCAAGUCUGAACCAGCCAAGUAGCGUGCAGGAUGACGGCCCUCCGGGUUGUAAACUGCUUUUAGUUGGGAAUAAAAGGGGGCUCGUGAGCCCCGUAUUGUAUGUACCAUCAGAAAAAGGACCGGCUAAUUCCGUGCCAGCAGCCGCGGUAAUACGGAAGGUCCGGGCGUUAUCCGGAUUUAUUGGGUUUAAAGGGAGCGUAGGCCGGCUUUUAAGUCAGCUGUGAAAGUCCGCGGCUCAACCGUGGAAUUGCAGUUGAAACUGGAGGCCUUGAGUGCACACAGGGAUGCCGGAAUUCAUGGUGUAGCGGUGAAAUGCUUAGAUAUCAUGAAGAACUCCGAUCGCGAAGGCAAGUGUCCGGGGUGCAACUGACGCUGAGGCUCGAAAGUGCGGGUAUCAAACAGGAUUAGAUACCCUGGUAGUCCGCACCGUAAACG